rnacentral:rRNA from 1 species
CACGUAGGCGGACUCUUAAGUCGGGUGUGAAAUCUCGGAGCUUAACUCCGAAACUGCAUUCGAUACUGCCGUGCUUGAGGACUGGAGAGGAGACUGGAAUUUACGGUGUAGCGGUGAAAUGCGUAGAUAUCGUAAGGAAGACCAGUGGCGAAGGCGGGUCUCUGGACAGUUCCUGACGCUGAGGCACGAAGGCCAGGGAGGCAAACG